rnacentral:misc_RNA from 1 species
GUUUUAUUUUUCAAAUGCAAUGCAAAUAAUCAGGCACCUUGUGUUUCCUUAGUCUGGAUCAGCCCCAAAGUCAAAUAGGUCAUUUUAUGUAUAUGCAAUUGCAGUUAACUUAAUAUAAGGAUACACAAAAUAAUUAAAAUCCUUUGGAAGCACUGAUGGAGCUAGUGGGGACUGAGCCGCUGAGGGGUGUCAUGGCCCCCUCUAGCUUGGUAUUUUUUUUUUAUCCAUGUAUUUUUAUGAAAAAAAUAUAUAAAUAUAUACAAAUACAUAUUAAAUUAAACUGUCCUCCUCCCCAUAUUAAAUUAAACUGUCCUCCUCCC